rnacentral:lncRNA from 1 species
AUGCUCCGCCCUACUGGUAAACAGAACAGCUAUUUGCCCGUCACUCGGGCCUCUCAGGGCCCCAAGACUCCAGGAAGAAACAAAUACUUUAGAAGCCAAAACCCCAAGGCAAGUUGGGGAGAGAACAGGGAGGGGCUAACUGUCUUGGAAAUGUCCUCAUCUGGCUUCAUGACAAUAAAGAAGUCUGGCAGAUGGGAGGAUGUACCUCAACUCUCUUUCUGGUUGACUGGGCAGCUACAGCAGUCCUGCUCUGAGCUGCAGGUCAGGUUCAGGUGA